CCAGCUCCAAUAGCGUAUAUUAAAGUUGUUGCAGUUAAAAAGCUCGUAGUUGGAUUUCUGUUUCGAGCGUCCGGUCCGCUUCUUUUAGGAGUGUGUACUUUGGAUGCUUGGGUCAUUUUUU
rnacentral:ncRNA from 1 species